CAGGUUGCAGUCCAAGAAAAGCAAAGUGAGUAAUGUAGGCUUCUUUAAAUGGCAAAGCAAAAAACAAAGGAAGGAGAAUUCUGAAGAAGAUCAGGAUAGCCACUAUGUCAAUGUACCUGAUCGUGACUACAUAGAAGUAAUUCCAUCAGGGGCUGCAGUAGAGAAAAGCGAUGAUGCAAACUCCUAUGAGAAUGUACCAACUCAAGCUGAUUAUGAAAAUGUCUUAUCUUCAAAGCCAAAGCACAUCAGAUGACUUUUAUAAGAACAUGGAAGCUGACAGAUGGAAAAAGAAUGCUAUCAAAAGUGGAUUCAACUACAUUUUCUUAAAAGAUUGUUACCGUGGUUACCUCAACAUUUAUUGUUUCAAAUGAAGAGUGUUGAAAAGUAUCAAAGAUGCUUAAACCAUAAAAUAUGUCGGACCUUGUGCUGUGCCAUCAGCAUCUUAUGUUCAAAACACUAUUGGCAUUGCUGAAUGGUACCUGUAGACGAACCAGUAUGAAGUUUACUAACUCAUCACCAGAUGCUUGCACAGUUUCAAAGCAAACAGGUCUGCUUCAUUACAAAUGGACCUAGAGUGAUGAGGCUGGUAAUGUGAGACAGAAAAGCUACCUGAAACCUUAAGAAUAGCAGAGGUUGUUCCAACACUCAUAUGGUGCAUUAACAGAUGAGGAUAAUUUUCUGUAUUUGGUUGGUGCAUUUCCUUUCUGAUACUUCUGAAAAUGACACAUAUGUGUUUAUACACACAGGCACACACGCAUAUACACACAUACACACACACAUACAU